UACGUAGGGUGCGAGCGUUAAUCGGAAUUACUGGGCGUAAAGCGUGCGCAGGCGGCUUGCUAAGACAGGUGUGAAAGCCCCGGGCUUAACCUGGGAAUGGCGCUUGUGACUGGCAAGCUGGAGUGUGGCAGAGGGAGGUGGAAUUCCACGUGUAGCAGUGAAAUGCGUAGAGAUGUGGAGGAACACCGAUGGCGAAGGCAGCCUCCUGGGCCAGCACUGACGCUCAUGCACGAAAGCGUGGGGAGCAAACAGG
rnacentral:rRNA from 1 species